GCGGGUAUAGUUCAGAGGUAGAACGUCAGCUUCCCAAGCUGAAUGUCGCGAGUUCGAUUCUCGCUACCCGCUCCA
rnacentral:tRNA from 13 species